rnacentral:rRNA from 1 species
GUUUGAUGUUCUAACGUUGACCCGUAAUCCGGGUUGCGGACAGUGUCUGGUGGGUAGUUUGACUGGGGCGGUCUCCUCCUAAAGAGUAACGGAGGAGCACGAAGGUUGGCUAAUCCUGGUCGGACAUCAGGAGGUUAGUGCAAUGGCAUAAGCCAGCUUGACUGCGAGCGUGACGGCGCGAGCAGGUGCGAAAGCAGGUCAUAGUGAUCCGGUGGUUCUGAAUGGAAGGGCCAUCGCUCAACGGAUAAAAGGUACUCCGGGGAUAACAGGCUGAUACCGCCCAAGAGUUCAUAUCGACGGCGGUGUUUGGCACCUCGAUGUCGGCUCAUCACAUCCUGGGGCUGAAGUAGGUCCCAAGGGUAUGGCUGUUCGCCAUUUAAAGUGGUACGCGAGCUGGGUUUAGAACGUCGUGAGACAGUUCGGUCCCUA